UACGUAGGUGACAAGCGUUAUCCGGAAUUACUGGGCGUAAAGCGCACGCAGGCGGCUCUUUAAGUCAGGGGUGAAAUCCUGGAGCUCAACUCCAGAACUGCCCUUGAUACUGAGGAGCUUGAGUCCGGGAGAGGUGAGUGGAACUGCGAGUGUAGAGGUGAAAUUCGUAGAUAUUCGCAAGAACACCAGUGGCGAAGGCGGCUCACUGGCCUGGUACUGACGCUGAGGUGCGAAAGCGUGGGGAGCAAACAGG
rnacentral:rRNA from 1 species